GACGAACGCUGGCGGCGUGCUUAACACAUGCAAGUCGAACGGAAAGGUCCUGCUUUGGUGGGGUGCUCGAGUGGCGAACGGGUGAGUAACCCGUGAGUAACCUGUCCUUGACUUUGGGAUAACUUCAUGAAACUGGGGCUAAUACCGGAUAGGAGCUCCUGCUGCAUGGUGGGGGUUGGAAAGUUUCGGCGGUUGGGGAUGUACGCGCGGCCCAUCAGCUUGUUGGGUGGGUGGUGGCAUACCAAGGUCUUGACGCGUGGACGGCCUGAGAGGAUGAGCGGCCACGUUGCGUCGGAGAUGCGGCCCAGACUCCAACGGGACGCAGGGGUGGAGAGUAGUACCCUGUGGGAGGGGCGAUGGUGUGACAACGCCGCGUGGGGGAAAUCGGGAAUCGGGUAGUAAAGCAAUAUUGUCUGUGACGAGGCGUUAGUGACGGUAACGGGUGAAGAAGCACCGGCUAACUACGUG
rnacentral:rRNA from 1 species